AACGUAGGAGACAAACGUUAUCCGGAGUUACUGGGCGUAAAGGGCGUGUAGGUGGUAGUGUAAGUCUGGCGUGAAAUUUUUCGGCUUAACCGGGAAAGGUCGUCGGAUACUGCACAACUAGAGGACGGUAGAGGCGUGUGGAAUUCCGGGUGUAGUGGUGAAAUGCGUAGAGAUCCGGAAGAACACCGGUGGCGAAGGCGGCUCGCUGGGCAGUGGCUGACGCUGAGGCGCGACAGCGUGGGGAGCAAACAGG
rnacentral:rRNA from 1 species